ACUCCUACGGGAGGCAGCAGUGAGGAAUAUUGGUCAAUGGGCGGAAGCCUGAACCAGCCAUGCCGCGUGCGGGAAGAAGGCGCUACGCGUCGUAAACCGCUUUUGUCCGGGGGUAACCGCGGGGACGUGUCCCCGCCUGCAAGUACCGGACGAAUAAGGGUCGGCUAACUCCGUGCCAGCAGCCGCGGUAAUACGGAGGACCCGAGCGUUAUCCGGAUUCAUUGGGUUUAAAGGGUGCGCAGGCGGCCCGGUCAGUCAGCGGUGAAAUGCCCGCGCUUCACGCGGGAGCUGCCGUUGAUACUGCCGGGCUAGAAUCUCAGCGAGGCGGGCGGAAUGCGCGGUGUAGCGGUGAAAUGCAUAGAUAUCGCGCAGAACGCCGAUUGGGGAGCCAGCUCGCCAGCUGGGUAUUGACGCUGAGGCACGAAAGCGUGGGGAUCGAACAGGAUUAGAUACCCUGGUAGUC
rnacentral:rRNA from 1 species